rnacentral:rRNA from 1 species
UACGGGGGGAGCAAGCGUUGUUCGGAUUUACUGGGCGUAAAGGGCGCGUAGGCGGUCGUGACAAGUCACUUGUGAAAUCUCCGGGCUUAACUCGGAACGGUCAAGUGAUACUGUCGGACUAGAGUACAGAAGGGCAACUGGAAUUCUCGGUGUAGCGGUGAAAUGCGCAGAUAUCAGGAGGAACACCUAUUGCGAAGGCAGCUCGCUGGGACGUAACUGACGCUGAGACGCGAAAGCGUGGGGAGCAAACAGG